rnacentral:rRNA from 1 species
GUUACACUGACUGGGGCAACGAGCACCUUGGCCGAGAGGCCCGGGGAAUCUUGAAGCCCAGUCGUGCUGGGGAUAGAGCAUUGCAAUUAUUGCUCUUCAACGAGGAAUCCCUAGUAGUCGCAUGUCAUCAGCAUGCGACGAUUACGUCCCUGCCCUUUGUACACACCGCCCGUCGCUACUACCGAUUGGAUGGCUCAGUGAGGCUUCUGGAUUGGCGCCGUGGGCAACUGCGGCCGCCGAGAAACUAUCCAAACUCGGUCAUCUAGAGGAAGUAAAAGUCGUAACAAGGUCUCCGUUGGUGAACCAGCGGAGGGAUCAUUAG